CCCGGCUAACUACAUGCCACAGCCGCAGUAAUACGUAGGGGGCAAGCGUUGUCCGGAAUUAUUGGGCGUAAAGCGCGCGCAGGCGGUUCUUUAAGUCUGGUGUUUAAACCCCAAGCUCAACUUCGGGUCGCACUGGAAACCGGGGCACUUGAGUGCAGAAGAAGAGAGUGAAAUUCCCCCUGUAAUGGUGAAAUGGGUAAAUAUGGGGAGGAACACCAGUGGCGAAGGCCACUCUCUGGGCUGUAACUGACGCUGAGGCGCCGAAGCGUGGGGAGCAAACUGGAUUAAAUACCCUGGUAGUCCACCCCCUAAACCAUGAAUGCUACGUGGUAGGGGUUUCGAUACCCUUGGUGCCUACUUAACCCAUUAAGCAUUCCCCCGGGGAAGUACGGUCCCAAAACU
rnacentral:rRNA from 1 species